ensembl:lncRNA
GUUCACCUCACAAUACCAGGGUCAACCACGGCUACCAGCAUGAGCGACGGCGCUUCACAACACCGUCUGAACUGACCAGUCUGGUGAAAUUCUGGACUGGAUGGGAGACUCUACCAAGAACUCUCUCUACAGAAGUAGUGAAUGGCAGAUACCUGACAGCCUCCACCUGCUAUGAGCCUUACAUUCCCAGGACAUUACAAGGACUGCGCAUCAUUUAAGACUGACAUCCUGGCCUGUAUUUGCACUUGCCAGUCAAGAUAUGUUAGGCAGCAUCAGGAGACAAACAUGGAGGAAAUAUGAGAACAGAGAGAACCCAACCAGCAGGUCACAGUUUAUCAUCAUCUAAUCAUCUCCUGAAGUCCAUAUGUUCAAAGGUCCCUCUCUAUCUCCCCACACAUCCACCAACCACUGGAACACAUCUCCAAAGUUCUGCUGGACCAGCUCAGCUUCCCCUCAGAAGAAGUGCUGCCACCUGCCAGAUGAAGGAGCCUUUUGAGAGGCAGCUGGCAUCGUGAUUGGACUGUACUUUGGUCUGUUCCAAUCCAGCUUCAGCUCCAGAGACGGCAGGCGGGACGAGUCAAUGGAGGCCUGGUGGACGAAGGCAUGCAGCUGAGUACAAUCCAGAAAACAACAGAGGAGGAGGGCAGCAGCCCAGAGCCAGAACAACCAGAGUAGCAUCGUAUGUCUCUUAGAAAACAUCAUAGUAUAGCCUUUGGUAUGAAAAAACACCAUCAUAUACAUCAUAUAUUGUACAAAUAACAAGUCUAAGGAAAGAGACAUACAUUAUAGAAUUGUAAUUGUGGGCUGACUGAUUUACUGACUAUCAGUAUUU